GACGAACGCUGGCGGCGUGCUUAACACAUGCAAGUCGAACGGUAAGGCCCUUCGGGGUACACGAGUGGCGAACGGGUGAGUAACACGUGGGUGAUCUGCCCUGCACUUCGGGAUAAGCCUGGGAAACUGGGUCUAAUACCGGAUAGGACUCCUGGCUUCAUGGUUGGGGGUGGAAAGCUUUUGCGGUGUGGGAUGGGCCCGCGGCCUUUCAGCUUGUUGGGGGGUAAUGGCCUACCAAGGCGACGACGGGUAGCCGGCCUGAGAGGGUGACCGGUCACACUGGGACUGAGAUACGGCCCAGACUCCUACGGGAGGCAGCAGUGGGGAAUAUUGCACAAUGGGCGCAAGCCUGAUGCAGCGACGCCGCGUGAGGGAUGACGGCCUUCGGGUUGUAAACCUCUUUCAGCUAUGACGAAGCGCAAGUGACGGUAGUAGCAGAAGAAGGACCGGCCAACUACGUGCCAGCCGCCGCAGUAA
rnacentral:rRNA from 1 species